rnacentral:ncRNA from 2 species
GGGUGAUCAUACCGCUCAGGUAUGACAGGAUUUGCGCUGGUCGGGCCGCCACG